AACGAACGCUGGCGGCAUGCCUAAUACAUGCAAGUCGAACGAUCACUUCGGUGAUAGUGGCGCACGGGUGCGUAACGCGUGGGAAUCUGCCCUUGGGUUCGGAAUAACAGCGGGAAACUGCUGCUAAUACCGGAUGAUGACGUAAGUCCAAAGAUUUAUCGCCCAAGGAUGAGCCCGCGUAGGAUUAGCUAGUUGGUGGGGUAAAGGCCUACCAAGGCGACGAUCCUUAGCUGGUCUGAGAGGAUGAUCAGCCACACUGGGACUGAGACACGGCCCAGACUCCUACGGGGGGCAGCAGUAGGGAAUAUUGGACAAUGGGGGCAACCCUGAUCCAGCAAUGCCGCGUGAGUGAUGAAGGCCUUAGGGUUGUACAGCUCUUUUACCAGAGAUGAUAAUGACAGUAUCUGGGGAAUAAGCCCCGACUAACUCCGUGCCAGCAGCCGCUGUAACAC
rnacentral:rRNA from 1 species